UACGGAGGGUGCAAGCGUUGUUCGGAAUUACUGGGCGUAAAGCGCGCGUAGGCGGUUUACUAAGUCAGAUGUGAAAGUCCCCGGCUCAACCGUGGAAGUGCAUUUGAAACUGGCAGACUUGAGUAUUGGAGGGGGUGGUGGAAUUCCCGGUGUAGAGGUGAAAUUCGUAGAUAUCGGGAGGAAUACCGGUGGCGAAGGCGACCACCUGGCCAAAUACUGACGCUGAGGUGCGAAAGCGUGGGGAGCAAACAGG
rnacentral:rRNA from 1 species